rnacentral:SRP_RNA from 1 species
CUCGGCAACAGGAUGGGUGUGAACCCGGUCAGGUCCGGAAGGAAGCAGCCGUAACAGCUGAACCGUGUGCCGAGAACAGGCUGGCU